UAAAAGUUAAUUUGUGGUGAAAGAAAACGGAGGAAGUUGAUUCAUUCCUUUGAGAUCUUUGGGUAACAACAAAGUUAAUUUUUGGGAGGAUAUUUGGCCUAUGUAUUGAAGCUCUAUGUUUAUAUUCUCUGU